rnacentral:rRNA from 1 species
UACGUAGGGGGCAAGCGUUGUCCGGAAUCAUUGGGCGUAAAGAGCGCGUAGGCGGCCCGACAAGUCCGCUGUGAAAGUCAAGGGCUCAACCCUUGAAUGCCGGUGGAUACUGUCGGGCUAGAGUCCGGAAGAGGCGAGUGGAAUUCCUGGUGUAGCGGUGAAAUGCGCAGAUAUUGGGAGGAACACCAGUGGCGAAGGCGGCGAUCUGGGAAGAUACUGACGCUGAGGUGCGAAAGCGUGGGGAGCAAACAGG